rnacentral:rRNA from 1 species
UACGGGAGGCAGCAGUAGGGAAUCUUCCGCAAUGGGGGAAAGCCUGACGGAGCAACGCCGCGUGAGUGAUGAAGGUCUUCGGAUGGUAAAACUCUGUUAUUAGGGAAGAACAUACGUGUAAGUAACUAUGCACGUCUUGAGGGUACCUAAUCAGAAAGCCACGGCUAACUACGUGCCAGCAGCCGCGGUAAUACGUAGGUGGCAAGCGUUAUCCGGAAUUAUUGGGCGUAAAGCGCGCGUAGGCGGUUUUUUAAGUUUGAUGUGAAAGCCCACGGCUCAACCGUGGAGGGUCAUUGGAAACUGGAAAACUUGAGUGCAGAAGAGGAAAGUGGAAUUCCAUGUGUAGCGGUGAAAUGCGCAGAGAUAUGGAGGAACACCAGUGGCGAAGGCGACUUUCUGGUCUGUAACUGACGCUGAUGUGCGAAAGCGUGGGGAUCAAACAGGAUUAGAUACCCUGGUAGUCCACGCCGUAAACGAUGAGUGCUAAGUGUUAGGGGGUUUCCGCCCCUUAGUGCUGCAGCUAACGCAUUAAGCACUCCGCCUGGG